GUAGAAUUCAAAUAAACUCUCGAUUUUAUUCCAUCAGUGUGGUGAAGAAUUGAACUGCAAACGCAUCCAAAAUGUAAAACCUGAUGCUGAGCUCCCAUCAGGCAAUGGUAGCAUUAGCCCCCC